rnacentral:tRNA from 1 species
GCCCUGGUAGCUCAGCCUGGAUAGAGCAUUAGCCUUCUAAGCUAAGGGUCGCAGGUUCAAAUCCUGUCCGGGGCGC